UGCAUGCAAAAGUCUGACAAGAUCUUGAUGAAGGGUUGGCCAUAACAAUUUUAGCUUGAUUUGCUCCUAUAUAUUUGGCUCCAUACGAAGUAAGAAACUUUGGAAACGAAAGCCAAAUUACAUUACUGACUUAGAGGGCCUUUGACGAAGACGAUGCAAUUGUUGGAAGGUGUCAUCAUAAUCAUUGGUAUAUCCAAAUGCAUAUUUGAAAAUGUCCGAAAAAACACUCAAAUCCCCACAAAUGGUUGCACUAAAACCAUUGUACCACUAUAAUGCCAUCCUUUAAAAACAUGUGGGAAACUUAUACAAAUGUCAAGCAUCAUCCCAAAAAUGAUAUAUGGUAAUCACCAUGAAGUGAUCAAAUUAAUGGUACAUAUCAUCCCUAAGAUUCCCACAGAAGAAUUCCGGCCAAACAUGAGGAUUGGCACCAAGAGCAAGAAGAGUUGUACCAUAUAUCGUGAAUGCCACUAUCAACUAAGUUUGGUUGUUCAAUUACAAACACAUAGCAUCAAACAUUUGCACUAACUAUUGCUCCAAAGUCAAAGGAAGAGGAGACUAUUGUUUUUCCAUGAAGAUGAAUGAAAAAGAAAAAGUAAAAAAAGA
rnacentral:lncRNA from 1 species